rnacentral:rRNA from 1 species
GACGAACGCUGGCGGCGUGCCUAAUACAUGCAAGUAGAACGCUGAAGGAGGAGCUUGCUUCUCUGGAUGAGUUGCGAACGGGUGAGUAACGCGUAGGUAACCUGCCUGGUAGCGGGGGGUAACUAUUGGAAACGAUAGCUAAUACCGCAUAAGAGUAGAUGUUGCAUGACAUUUGCUUAAAAGGUGCAAUUGCCUCACUACCAGAUGGACCUGCGUUGUAUUAGCUAGUUGGUGGGGUAACGGCUCACCAAGGCGACGAUACAUCGCCGACCUGAGAGGGGGAACGGCCACAAUGGGACUGGGGCACGGCCCAGACUCCUACGGGAGGCAGCAGUAGGGGAUCUUCGGCAAUGGACGGAAGUCUGACCGAGCAACGCCGCGUGAGUGAAGAAGGUUUUCGGAUCGUAAAGCUCUGUUGUAAGAGAAGAACGAGUGUGAGAGUGGAAAGUUCACACUGUGACGGUAUCUUACCAGAAAGGGACGGCUAACUACGUG